UCUACGGGUGGCAGCAGUGAGGAAUAUUGGUCAAUGGGCGAGAGCCUGAACCAGCCAAGUCGCGUGAAGGAUGACGGCCCUACGGGUUGUAAACUUCUUUUGUCAGGGAGCAAUUGGGUCCACGCGUGGGCUUCGCGGGAGUACCUGAAGAAAAAGCCUCGGCUAACUCCGUGCCAGCAGCCGCGGUAAUACGGAGGAUGCGAGCGUUCGCCGGAUUGAUUGGGUUUAAAGGGUGCGUAGGCGGAAUAUCAAGUCAGCGGUAAACAUUCGGGGCUCAACCCCGUCGUGCCGUUGAAACGUUUGUUCUUGAGUGGGCGAGAAGUAUGCGGAAUGCGUGGUGUAGCGGUGAAAUGCAUAGAUAUCACGCAGAACUCCGAUUGCGAAGGCAGCAUACCGGCGCCCAACUGACGCUGAAGCACGAAAGCGUGGGUAUCGAACAGGAUUAGAUACCCUUGUAGUC
rnacentral:rRNA from 1 species